rnacentral:misc_RNA from 1 species
CGUGCUCUUGUCCAUCCAUCCUCGAUCAGUCCUCUUUCGUCUUCUGGUUCAGUUUCCUUCUAAACUACGAAAGGGAUCAUUUUCCAACCCUAAUUUUGGAAUCUAAUCACAAGAUCCUUAAUUUCUCUCAAUUUUAUAUUGAUUUUAAUCAGCAAUGUCUACCUAAAAUCUAAAAAGGUUGCUUUCUCCCUGUUCUCUGUGCUGGAUAUCUGACUACAUCCAUGGAAGAGUCUUACAGCAACCUUCCUACCUACUAGCCAUUUACUGGGCUCUGUUCCUGCUGUGGUCAGUGAAGAAAAAAGUACCACCACCUAUGUAGCCCCUGAAGCAAAUAUGCAAACAUUCCCUCCAAAUAAUAAUGGAGAAGGCAGCAGUCGGGGUUAUCAAACCCUUGGAAGUCCACCUGAAGGAUUUGAGCAACAACCACCAAACAAUUGGAAAGGGGUAUUCAGUGUAAGUGUGUCAUCAUACACACAGUAUUUCAAUGUGGAUACAGACGUUGUCAUAAACAGAAUGAUGAGCUCUUUUUAUCCUAUUGGUGGGGAUUUUUUCAGCAAGAUUGAUGCAAACCCUGAUCUGUAUGGGCUUAUCUGGAUUUCAACUACAUUGGUCUUUGUGCUAGCUUCUCUUGGAAAUUG